rnacentral:lncRNA from 10 species
AGCAAUAAAGCUGUUUAUUCUGGGUGCAGGCGGGCUGAGUCCGAAAAGAGAGUCAGCGAAGGGAGAUAAGGGUGGGGCCGUUUUAUAGGAUUUGGGUAGGUAAAGGAAAAUUACAGUCAAAGGGGGUUUGUUCUCUGGCGGGCAGGAGUAGGGGUCGCAAGGUGCUCAGUGGGGGUGCUUUCUGAGCCAGGAUGAGCCAGGAAAAGGACUUUCACAAGGUAAUGUCAUCAGUUAAGGCAAGGACCGGCCAUUUACACUUCUUUUGUGGUAGAAUGUCAUCAGUUAAGGUGGGGCAGGGCAUAUUCACUUCUUUUGUGAUUCUUCAGUUACUUCAGGCCAUCUGGGCGUAUACGUGCAAGUCACAGGGGAUGCAAUGGCUUGGCUUGGGCUCAGAGGCCUGACAUUCCUGCCUUCUUAUAUUAAUAAGAAAAAUAAAAUAGUGUUGAAGUGUUGGGGCGGCGAAAAUUUUUGGGGGGUGGUAUGGAGAGAGAAUGGGCGAUGUUUCUCAGGGCUGCUUCAAGCGGGAUUAGGGGCGGCGUGGGAACCUAGAGUGGGAGAGAUUAAGCUGAAGGGAGGUCUUGUGGUAAGGGGUGAUAUUGUGGGGAUGUUAGAAGAAACAUUUGUCGUAUAGAAUGAUUGGUGAUGGCCUGGAUACGGUUUUGUAUGAAUUGAAAAACUAAAUGGAAUAACAGAAGGAGAAAAACAGGUAUAAAAGGUCUAAGAAUUGGGAGGACCUAGGACAUCUGAUUAGAGAGUGCCUAAGGAGAUUCAGCAUAGUCCUGCCAGCAAAGAUUAUUUAUUUACUUCAAGAGUUAAGAGUGGCGGUUUGGGGAUAGCACCAGGAGAUAUCAGCUGUGAUGGCUUGGAGAAACAGUGUAAACCGGCACUGUAAGUAAGAGCAGGGCACGUAUGAGUAGUUGAGAACGGUGAAUAGGAGUAUGACUAGACAAAAGAUAGUAGGGAUGACAAGUUUUUUUGGGGCACAGUCUAAGUUGGUCUGGUGUCGAAUGAGACUGGGGCCCAAUAAAAAGGAGCGUCUAUACAGGAGCUUAAAUGGGCUGUACCUUGUAACAUUCUGAGGACAGGCCUGAAUUCUGAGAAGCGAAAGUGGUAAAAGUAUUUAUUGUCCAGUCCUUUUUAAGUUGGUGGCUGAGCUUGGUGAGGUGUGUUUUUAAAAGACCUGUAGUCCGUUCUACUUUUCUUGAAGACGGAGGACCGUAAGGGAUAUAAAGGUUUCACUGAAUACUAAGAGCCUGAAAAACUGCUUGGCUGAUUUGACUAAUAAAGGCUGGUCUGUUACCAGACUGUAUAGAGGUGGGAAGGCUAAACUGAGGAAUUAUGUCUGACAGAAGGGAAGAAAUGACUGCGGUGGCCUUCUCAGACCCUGUAGGAAAGGCCUUUACUUAUUCAGUGAAAGUGUCUAUUUAGACUAAGAGGUAUUUUAGUUUCCUGACUUGGGCAUGUUGAGUAAAGCUAAUUUGCCAGUCCUGGGUGGGGGCAAAUCCUUGAGCUUGAUGUGUAGGGAAGGGAGGGGGGCCUGAAUAAUCCCUGAGGAGUAGUAGAAUAGCAGAUGGAACACUGAGAAGUUAUUUCCUUGAGGAUAGAUUUCCAGGAUGGAAAGGAAAUGAGAGGUUCUGAGAGGUGGGUUAGCGGCUUAUACUAUAGCAUAGCCUGCCUUUGCUGGUGUGUGGCGAUUAGGCCUGGUGGAACUACCAUCAAUAAAUCAAGCGUGAUCAGGGUGAGAAACAGGAAAGAAGGAAAUAUGGGGAAAUGGGGUGAAUAUUAGCUGGAUCAGAGAGAUACAGUCAUGGGGGUCAGGUGUGGUAUCAGGAAUAAUGUGAGAGGCCAGAUUGAAGUCCGGGCCAGGAACAAUGGUAAUUGUGGGACUUAAAGAGUGACUACAGCUGAAGGAGCCGGGGAGCAGAAAGUAUAUGCGUCAGGUAUGAGGAAGAAAAUAGAUUUUGGAAGUUAUGAGAAAUGUAGAGAGUGAAUUGAGCAUAGUUUGUGAUUUUUAGGGCCUCUAACAGUAUUAAAGCAGCGGCAGCCGCUGCACGCAGACAUGAGGGCUAGGCUAAAACAGUAAGGUCAAGUUGUUUGGACGGAAAGGCUACAGGGUGCGAUCCUGGCUCUUGUGUAAGAAUUCUGACCGCACUAACCAUGCCUAGGAAGGAAAGGAGUUGUUGUUUUGUAGAAGGUGCUGGGGUUUGAGAGAUCAGUCGGACACGAUUGGCAGGGAGUGCACGUGUGUUUUUAUGAGAAUUAUGCCGAGAUAGGUAACAGAUGAGGAAGAAAUUUGGGCUUGAUUGAAGUAAUGGGGGCUGUCUGUGAAGCUUUGCGGCAGUACAGCCUAGGUAAUUUGCUGAGCUUGAUGGGUGUCAGGGUCAGUCCAAGUGACAGCGAAGAGAGGCUGGGAUUAAGGGUGCAAAGAAAUAGUAAAGAAAGCAUGUUUGAGAUCUAGAACAGAAUAAUGAGUUAUAGAGGCAGGUAUUGAUAGGAGAGUAUAUGUGUUUGGCACCACGGGGUGGAUAGGCAAAACAAUUUGGUUGAUAAGGCGCAGAUCCUGAACUAACUUGUAAGGCUUGUCUGGUUUUAGGACAGGUAAAAUGGGGGAAUUGUAAGGAGAGUUUAUAGGCUUUAAAAGGCCAUGCUGUAGCAGGCGAGUGAUAACAGGCUUUAAUCUUUUUAAAGCAUGCUGCGGGAUGGGAUAUUGGCGUUGAGUGGGGUAAGGGUGAUUAGGUUUUAAUGAGAUGAUAAGGGGUGCAUGAUCAGUCGCCAAGGAGGGAGCAGAGGUAUCUUAUACUUGUGGGUUAAGGUGGGGGGAUACAAGAGGAGGACGCAAAGGAGGCUUUGGAUUGGGAAGAAGGGCGGCAACGAGAUAUAGUUGUAGUCCAGGAAUAGUCAGGGAAGCAGAUAAUUUAGUUAAAGUGUCUCAGCCUAAUAAGGGAACUGGGCAGGUGGGGAUAACUAAAAAGGAGUGCUUAAAAGAGUAUUGUCUAAGUUGGCACCAGAGUUGGGGAGUUUUAAGAGGUUUAGAAGCCUGGCCGUCAAUACCCACAACAGUUAUGGAGGCAAGGGAAACAGGCCCUUGACAAGAAGGUAAUGUGGAGUGGGUAGCCUCCGUAUCGAUUAAGAAGGGGACGGGCUUACAUUCCACUGUGAGAGUUACCCAAAGCUCGGCGUCCGUGAUGGUCUAGGGGGCUUCCGAGGCGAUCGGGCAGUGUCAGUCUUCAGCCGCUAAGCCGAGAAGAUCUGGGAAGGAGUCAGUCAGAGAGCCUUGGGCCAGAGUUCCAGGGGCUCUGGGAUUGGCUGCCAGGUGAGUUGAACAGUCCGAUUUUCAGUGGGGUCCCACACAGAUGGGACGUGGCUUAGGAGGAAUCCCGGGCUGCGGGCAUUCCUUGGCCCAGUGGCCAGAUUUCCGGCAAGUGUAGCAAGCUCCUGGGGGAGGAGGUUCUGGAGGAAGGCCUGGCCGCUGCAGUUCAGGCAUUUGGAAGUUCUUGUGUGCUGCAGAUGCGGCUGGGGUUUGUCUCACAGUGGAGGCAAGGAAUUGCAACUUUUUUCUGUUAUUGUACACCUUGAAGGUGAGGUUAAUUAAGUCCUGUUGUGGGGUUUGAGGGCCAGAUUCUAAUUUUUGGAGUUUUAUUUAAUGUUGGGAGCAGAUUGGGUAAUAAAAUGUAUAUUGAGAAUAAGACGGCCUUUAGACCUUUUAGGGUCUAGGGCUGUAAAGCGUCUCAGGGUUGCUGCCAAACGAGCCAUGAACUGGGCUGCAUUUUUAUAUUUGAUGAAAAAGAGCCUAAACGCUUCUGAUUUGGGAUAAAGAAAAAGGAGCAUUAACCUUGACUAUGCCUUUGGCUCCAGCCACCUUUUUAAGAGUAAAUUGCUGGGCAGGUGGGGGAGGGCUAGUCACGGAACGAAACUGUAAGCCGGACCAGGUGUGAGGAGGAGAGGUGAUAAAAGGAUUAUAGGGUGGAGGAGCAGAGGCUGAGGAAGAAUUGGGACCUAGAUCGGCCUGGAGAGGAGCAGCCUGGGGAGGAAGGGAGAGGUCAGAUGGGUCUGUAGAAAACGAAGAUUAGAAAGACUCAGCGACGCUUGGGGUUGGUACUGAGGGGACAGGCAGGAGGGAAAGAAGCAAGAUUUGGGACGAGUUGCACUGGGCACAGAGACUAGGAAGGGACUGAUGUGUAAAAGAAUGCCUGGACGUCAGGCACCUCAGACCAUUUGCCUAUUUUACAAGAAUUAUUUAGAUCUUGCAGGAUGGAAAAAUUCAAAGUGCCAUUUUCUGGCUAUUUGGAAUUACUGUUGAGUUUGUAUUGGGGUCAAGCGGCAUUGCAGAAGAAAAUAAGGCAUUUAGGUUUUAGGUUAGGUGUAAGUUGAAGAGGUUUUAAGUUUUUGAGAACACAGGCUAAGGGAGAAGGAGGAGGAAUGGAGGGUGGAAGGUUGCCCAUAGUGAAGGAGGCAAACCCAGAGAAAAGAGAGCAUAGAGACACGGAGGGAAGGGGUUCGGGGGUUCUUACCCUCCUGAAAAGUGGGAAGGGGGGUCGGGGCACGGAAAUAAGGCAUUGGGGCACAGAGAUAAGAGGUUGGGGUGCGGAAAUAAGGGAUUGUGGGGGUUCUUGCACCCUAGAAAAGCGGGACUUGUCACUAAGGGUGAAGGAGAAGGGGUUGAGGGGUACUUGCCCCUGCCCCAGGAAAGCAGAGAAGGGGUAGAGACAAGGAGAGAAGGUGUUGGGGUACCGGCACCAAAUUUCAUGCGCGUCCGUGUGAAGAGACCACUAAACAGGCUUUGUGUGAGCAACAUGGCUGUUUAUUUCACCUGGGUGCAGGCGGGCUGAGUCCGAAAAGAGAGUCAGGGAAGGGAGAUAAGGGUGGGGCCGUUUUAUAGGAUUUGUGUAGGUAAAGGAAAAUUACAGUCAAAGGGAGUUUGUUCUCUGGCGGGCAGGAGUCGGGGUCGCAAGGUGCUCAGUGGGGGAGCUUUUUGAGCCAGGAUGAGCCAGGAAAAGGACUUUCACAAGGUAAUGUCAUCACUUAAGGCAAGGACCGGCCACUUACACUUCUUUUGUGGUGGAAUGUCAUCAGUUCAGGUGGGGCAGGGCAUAUUCACUUCUUUUGUGAUUCUUCAGUUACUUCAGGCCAUCUGGGCGUAUACGUGCAAGUCACAGGGGAUGCGAUGGCUUGGUUUGGGCUCAGAGGCCUGACAUUCACAAUAUUUGUGUGAAUUCCCUUAAUGUUACUACAAAUACUUAGUUUACAAUAAAAGUUUUGAAAUUCAGUUCUAAUGAUAGGGUAGGGUUUAAAGAAGUUUGAUAAUGAAAGUAUUUAAAAAUGUAAAUGAAUGUAUGAAUAUGCCUCAGACUGAGUUAUACAACCUUUCCAAAGUGAACUGCAAAAAUAAGGAUUAAAAUAAUUUAUCAGUCUCUUACUGUUAAAUAAUAGUGAAAUGAAAGCAUUUAGACAAGGGUUAUAGGCAUCACGUUGUUAAUUACAGUGGUUGUAUUUGCUUUUGUUCCAGUGCAUUGUAAUUAAUGAAGAUCUACAGCUCUGUGCUUUGUCUUGGAAAACAUACACUGUUUUCUUAGGCAUCAAUACAGCUACGAUAUCCUUCACUUAUUUCUUAAGAAUAACUCUUUUUUAGCACAGGGGAGUCCACUGUUGCAGCAGCAACAUGAAAAUCACAGCAAGAUUUGAGCUUCGACAGAUCAGGGAGCAAUCGACUCUAUUCAUGUGUGCCUAACCUUUUCUCAACACCCGACAAAUGUAGGCUAUAAUGACAUAUGAGACAUUGUUUAGACCAACUCAGUAAUCAUAGGUAUAAUCUUGGUCUUUUUAAAAAUUUCAAGCCGAAAGCAUGAGUUUAGAGUACAAGGGAGGAAAAGUUAGCAAGGUUUAAAUUAAAAUGUGUAUUCUAGAUCUCAACCUAGAUGGUUUAGCCUCUGUGAUUACAUGAGUUUGCCAGUCUGAAUUAGAGAAUAUGACACAUGUUUGGGGAGGGAGAAGGAGGAUGGGUAACCUUAGAGAUAUUAAUCAAUGAUUUGUAAGCGGUAAAUCUGAAGAGCCAACUACAAAAGGGAGAUGAGGGUGAUAUUUCUGUCUCCUGUUAGAAGUAUUACAUAAAUGCAGAAUUAGUGAUAAGAAAAAUAAUUUCAAUUUUUUAUCCUCUGUCUUGUCCUGUUUGCUAAGAUCCUUCUCCAAAGGGGUACUGGCUCUAAAAGAAAAAAGUGAUGAUUGGACUUGUCAUGUGGUCCACUGGAAGCCUGACGGUUAUCUCCUAACAGCCUUCAUGGACAUUUGAAGGCUCUGCACUGCUGUUAUUUUGAAAUAAUCAGUGUGCACACGAAUGAACAUACAAAUUGUGCCGCUUGAUUCUUCUUCCCUUCUCUGCAGGGGCCAACAGGGCACCCUGUGGAGAUGUAGAUGGGAGAAAAUUCCUUCUCUAUCUCCCUCCCAAAUUCCCUGUUGGAGCUGGGCUUACAGCCUAGUAGGUGUUGGGAAGCACUGACUCAUAGCCAGUGCCUUUUUGUGAGGCCACUGGCUUGGAUGUGACUCUCUGUACCUCUUAGACUGACACCUGGUCGGUGCUUGACACCUCUGAGAAUUCUCAGGGAUGCAAAUGGUGGGCCAGAGAGAGGCAGUGAGAUGGGCAACUCCUUUAGUGCUGAGGAGCUGAUGGAGUCCUCUAUGUCUUAUAAGGCAGAGACGAUUUCACGCUCUUGCAUAAAUCCAUAGAGCGUUACAAGUUAUGAGUUUCUAAGAGUUCCAUUUCCUCUCUGGGUGUUAAAAAACUGGGCUGAUUUUUGAUAUUUUGAAAAGGAGUUUUAGAAUUUUGUUGUAAGUGCCACUUAUGGUUUUUUAAAAAAGCACUUCCCUGUUUAUAGAGGAAAACACUUCAUACAUAAUAUGAAGCAGAAAAACUCUCAAAUCUGGAAAAAGUUAAUUGACUUUAGAUAGUCUUAUCAAAAUACGAACUGAUAUCAUAGGACUCCAGCAGAUUUAUCCACUACAGAUCUUUUACUUUAAUUUAUUGGUUACUUCACAGAAUUGCCAACUGCAUUACAGUCCCGUGUGUAGUGGGAAAAGCACUAUCAUGUAACUCUUGAGCAGAUGUGUUACAAGAGUCUUUUCAUUUCCUUUUUUAAACUCAAAGAAUAAUGACACUGCAAUAUCAUGUGGUGAAAAGAGCAAUAAUUUGAUAAACAUUGUCUUUCCAUUAGAUUAGAGCAAUUAAUCUGAUUCUAAUUUGGCUGAAACAUUAUCAUACUGGAGUCCCCAGAGCCCUGUGAAUAAUCUCUAAACACAUUGGCACACUCAGUAGACAAACAUUAUCUUCACUCGCACUGUUCUUCCAUAUGGUCUCCUCCCAUGGUGAUGGAGGGCACCCUGCUGUUUCAAUCAAAUAAAUGUCAAUUAUCUGAGAUAGAUUUUUAGUUCUCGAGCCCGGACUUGCAGUGCAGCCAGAGUGACUGGGUAGAAUGGUCUGAAACUCUUUUCUGCACAUGUCACUUGCAUUUUAUAAGGAAUUCACACAUUGCCACGUCAUCCAGCAUUCUAAGAACUUCAUAAAUAAAAUGGUUGAUUUCAGAAGCUGUGCAUGUGUAUGUGUGUGUGUGUGUGUGAGAGAGAGAGAGAAAAACUCUUGACCUUCAUUUAGCUUUACUUUGCUCAUCCUGAGUAGAGAGUAUUUUUUUAAACUCAAGGAGGGAUACUUUUUAUUCUCCAUGAUCUGAAUUAGGGCUACCAUCUAUGUAUAUUCAUGUCCUGUUUAGGCACUUCUCCCUUUGUAGUAGCCCUCCCUGUACCUGGAUGGAAAUCCGGACAUAAAGAUCUCAGAAACAAAGACCUUCGCCUGACUGUCUGAUUUCUUUUGCAGGCCUUUUCCUAGACGUAUUUGUUCUGAGCAUGGUGGCCUCUGGGGGUGAGAGCUGUAGGAUUUUUUCCACCGGCCUUUGCAGGGGUUGCUGGUGAGAUCAGCAGGAACUCUGGACUCCAGAAAACAGUAGAGGGAAGGAGGAGGAGAACACACCACCUUCCCCAAGGCAGAGAGGAAGGCCUGGCAAGGGCACUUCAGGUGUCAAAGAGGUGAAUCGAGUCUCUUAGAAAGAGGGCUGUACAUAUGAAGCUGACAUCGUGAAACCAAGCAAAAGUAGAUGAGGUGAAAUGGAAUGACAUGAUGAGAAGGCUGUCACUUCUAUGUUUCUUUGCACCACUCUCUAUCUUGAGGGUGUCAGUUAUCAGGUGUUGGUUUUGUUAUCAGACAGGUCCUUGUCUCAAAAGCUUGUAAAUUUGCCCGGAGCCCUGAGGGCCUCUGAUGACUAUGUGUCUAGACGAAAAGCACUGGGUCACCCUCCUUGCUGCUGCUACUGUGACAAGCUGGCACAAAGAGAAAGGCAGUCCAUGGGGAUCUGGACUAAUUCACUGUGGCAAUCCAGCAAACGUUGUCAGAAAGGAUUUCAGCUUCCCUGUUGGCUGUGAUCCUGAAUCAAGGAGGAAAGCCACUGAGUGCUCAGAGUGAAAAAAUACAGUAGCCGCAAACUCCUCUGCCUCUGACAUGGUUUAAUCAGAAACUGUCACUCAUUGACAUCAAAUGUCAAGCCCUGGGUCACCCCCUGCAUUUAGAGGGCAGGAAGUCCCUGACUCCAGAGGUGGGCCCAGUGCACCUGCUCUGCAAGGCAGGAGGUGUGGAGGGUGGAUAUUUUAGCAACAGCUGGAGCAUUUGCUGAAAAGAGAGAACAUUAUGCCAGGUUGACGUGUAGAAAGAGGUUCAUGAAGAGAAGACCGAGAUGAAUUAGAGCAAUAGGUGCAUGGUUAAAUAUCUAGUCUCUGGAGGGAGGUGGCUUGGGUUCAAAGCCUGAUAUCAUCACUUAUUGUGUGAUUGUGGGCAAGUCACUUAUCCUGCAGAAUUCUCAGUUUUCUUAUCUACAAAAUGGGGAUUGAUGAUAGCCCCUGUCCCAUGUGUUUGUUGCAGAUACUAAAUAAAAUAGUGAAUGUAAAGUACACAGAAUUGUGCUGGCACAUAGUAUGUGCUCAAUAAAUUUUUGCAGCUGUUCUUAGAGAGAGAAAGGGUUAGAAGGCUGGGUUUUGAAUUGGGUGGCUCCACCACUUACCAGCUUUGUAUUUCUCAGUAGGUCACUAAAUCAGCCUAAGCCUUCAUGUUCUAUGUGUCUUACCAAUGUCACAUGGUUCUUUUGAGGUUCAAGCGAAAGAUAUGUGGUGCUGUAAUGAGGACAUAGUAAAGUAUAAUGUCCUUGGCAAAAAUCGUGAUAGGCUUCCAUUGUGUACACCAGGCAAAGUGCCCUCUUCAGUGCUGUGAUAUAGAGCAGUUGGAUUAAAUACAUUAAACUCACAUUACAUGGGGGAAAGGGCUCUGAGUCUGUUGAUUUACUAGAGUUGCCAUAACAAAUACCACAGGCUUAAACAGUAGCAAUUUAUUCCUCACAGUUCUGGAGGCUUGAAGUGCAAGAUCAAGGGGUCAGCAGGGUUGUUCUUCUGAGGACUUCUCUUAGCUUGUAGAUAUCUUCACAUGGUCUUCCCUGUCUGUGUGCUUGUGUCUUCCUAAUGUCUUCUUAUAAGGAUACGAGUCCUAUUGAAUUACAGUCCACCUUAGUGAUCUCAUUUUAUCUUACUUACCUGUUUAAAGACCUUAUCUCCAAAUACAGAAGAGAGUAAAUUUAUAUCUUGGGGAGAAUUUGUGGGAAUUAUGCCAAAAUGUAUUUCUGUAAACUUAAAUUUUCUUAGAAGUUUUUUUUUUAAUUCCAAAAGUUUUCAUGGACUGGGUGUGGUGGCUCAUGCCUAUAAUCCCAGCACUUUGGGAGGCCAAGUCAGGCAGAUCACUUGAGACCAGGAGUUAGAGACCAGCCUGCACUUAAAAAAAAAAUCAUGGAUGUUACAUUGUUCUUUGUGCUAUGUCCAUAUUUGUUUUCAGGUAAAAUAACUUUUAAAAUUUCUUGACAGUUAAAUUACUUAAAGUCUGUGUUAGGUAAUGCUAGCUGCUUGAUUUGAUUUGGCUGCGUCCCCACCCAAAUCUCAUCUUGAAUUGUAGCUUCCAUAAUUCCCAUGAGUCAUGGGAGGGACGUAGUGGUAAGUAAUCAAAUCAUAGGGUGGGUCUUUCCCGUGCUGUUCUUGUGAUAGUGAAUAUGUCUCAAGAGAACCGAUGGUUUUUUAAAGGGGAGGUCACCUGCACACACUCCCUUACCUGCUGCCUUGUAAGCUCUGACUUAACUCCUCGUUUGCCUUCCACAAUGAUUGUGAGGCCUCCCCAGCCAUGUGGAACUGUGAGCCCAUAAAACCUCUUUCCUUUAUAAAUUAUCCAGUCUCAGGUAUAUCUUUAUAAGCAGCAUGAGGAUAAACUAUACACUACUAUAAUAAAUAAGCCCUCAAAAUUCAGUGGUUUGACACACAAAAAUAUUUCCUUUCUUCAUCAACUCUGAAUCCAAUGUAGGUAUAUCUGCAGUGAAGUGCUUUUAGUCAGAGGUGAUUCAGGAAUCAUGAACUCAGGCUCCUAUCUUCUGGCCUUACCAUCUAUCUGUAUUAGUUAUAAAUUAUAAUAUAUGUAGCCUAUUAUGUUAGGCUGCUAUAGCAAAGUAUCAUAGACUGGCUAGCUUACAACAGAAAUGUAUGGUUUCACAGUUCUAGAGACCAGAAGUCCAAGAUCAAAGUCUCAACAGGAUCGGUUCUUUCUGAAGGCUGGAAGGGAAGUAUCUGUUCCAGGCCUCUCUCCUUGGCUUGUAGAUUGUCAUCUACUUCCUGUGUCUCUUCACAUCAUCUUCCUUCUAUUCCUGUCUGUGUCCGAAUUUCCCUUUUUAUAAGAACAUCAGUCAUACUGUAUUAGUGGCUCAAUCUACUCCAGUAUGACCUCAUUUUAACUAAUUAUGUCUGUAACAGUGAUACUUUCAAAUAAGGUCACAUUCUGAGAUAUUGGGGGUUAGGACUUCAACAUAUGAAUUUUCAGGGGGUUACAACUCAGCCCAUAAGAGUCCAACACCAGGAUUACAUUAUAAUGGGUAUCCUCUCAGUUUAUCAGAUUUGAAUAGAAAGAAAGGUAGUAGAAAGGGUACUGAACUUGAUAUCAUGGCUUCUGUUGGUCUAGUCAGCAUUCACACAAAUUAGGUGAGUGAUCUUAAGGAAAUCCUUUCUCUUUUAGAGUCUCAAUGUCUCUUUUCCAGUGUUCAUGCUAGCAUUAACAUCUUAUAAUGGUUUAAAUAAUAUGUAUCCAUCUGUCACUCUCUCUCCAUCCUAUCAUCCAUUCAUCCCAUCUUCCACCCAUCCUUCCAUCUGUCUUCUCAUUCAAUCAACAAACACUUAUUGAGUAUUUAUAAUGUCCCCAGUAUCAAGUCGAUUUCUGGGAAUACAAUGAUGGAUGAGACACAUUCUCUUCCUUCAAGGCAUUUAUCAAUCUGCUGGGGAGACAGACGAGUAAAAUGUAGAUGGACUCUAUUCUCUCUUCUACAUUAUAGUCCUUUAAAUAUUUGAGGAAGGCUAACAUUUCCUACUUUUUCUCUCUUGGUUCCUUGUUUCUAAAGUAAGUAUACUUUAAUUUCCUUAAUGAUUCCUCACAUAACACAGUUUCCUCACUCUUUUAGAUUAAUAUUCUGUGGUAUUAUCUAGGUUGCUGUCCUUAACAAUUCAGAAAUAAAUACAAGCUGUGUAGCUAUACUGCUACUUGAUUAGGAAGCAGACAAUAGUCAGACUAUGCUGGGUCUCACACUGAGUUAAUCUGGAGUAAGAUUGGAUGUGGCAAAUUACAGAGCCCUCUCAGAUUACAUUUUUCUCUCAUUUUCUUCAGUGGCCUCGCUCAGGCACAUUUACUGAGCCCUUGUUUAUCAUGGAGCACUUUACUGGACAAAGUUAGCAGACAAUUUUCAGUCAAAUGCAGAAGUCAUAAUAUUGACACAAGGGCCACAAUAUUAAAAACAAAAACUAAAACAAAGAAAAGGUUGGGUGGAAUGUAUCAUGCUUAUAAUCCUAGUGCUUUGGGAGACUGAGCUAGGAGGAGCGCUGGAGGCCAAGAGUUCAAGACUAGCCUGGGCAACAUAGCAAGAGCCUGUCUCUGCAAAAUAUUAAAAAAAUUUAGCUGAGCAUGGUGGCAUGUGCCUGUAGCCCCAGCUAAACUGAGAGGCAGAGGUAGGAGGAUUGCUUGAACCCAGGAGUUCAAGGAUGCUGUUCGCUGUGAUCAUGCCACUACAUUCCCGUCUGGGUGACAAAGUGAGAUCCUAUCUCUAAAAAUAAACAAACAAAAACCAAACCAAAACAAAACCCCACUAAUCACAUGUCAGGCACUUAGUGAAUUUUGUCUUAUUUAAUCACUGUAACAACUCUAUUAAAUAUUCACCAUUUCAUCAUUGGAGUUACUGGAUCUUGGAGGUUAAACUACUUGCCCAUAGUCACAUUGUUAGUAGGAGGAGCCUGGACUUAUCCCCAGAUUUCUUUGAUCUUAAAAACUUGGUUCAUAACCCCUAUGUUUAAGCAUCUCUCUCAGAGCCCUCUGUUCAAUUAAGGAUUAGGAGAUUGCUUGGUGGAUUUUCUGUUGGGCUGCUCUCACAUUAGUUCCCAGGUAAGGAGAAGGCAGCUGGCAGAUUUAGGGCAGGCCUCUUGGGAAUUAUACCUUGAUGGAGACAUUAGGGUCUUGGGUUUAGGUCUUAGCUUUUCCCUUUCAAGAUCUCACUUCUAUUAUUUUGUCACAGUGAACAGACUUUGAGGGAUAGUUUCUCUCUAAUAAAAUACAAAAGAGAAUGAUUUAUAAACCACAGUCCCAAUUUACCAUGGGAAAUAGAACUUAUUUUUAAAAUCAGGAGCAUUUUUUCAACCAGGCAUUCCCUUUUUGUGGGGUCAGUCACUCAGAAGGACAAAUAAUAAUUCAGAAGGUUGCUUGGCAAGCAUAGAAUUUACAACAAAAAGAUUAGGUAUUGCCCAAGGGAAGUCUCCUCAGGCUAACCUAACUUGGAGUUAAUCCUUCUCUGCCCUGCGGUUGUUUCUGCCUAAAUUACUGGAAUCCAUCUUCUAGAAUCACAACAUAAUUUUCCUUGGUCACUGCUACACUCAGACACACAGACAGUCUAACCUCUCAAUUCUCUUUAGGCAAUCUUUCUCUUUUGGAAGUAUCUAUUAUCAAAAACAUCUCUUGUCACAUUACUUCAUUUUAUAAUGUUCUAAAUUAUUAUUUAUCUUUAUUAGUUUACAUUGUAGGUCGUCUGCUCUUUAAUGAGGCUUGGGUUGGACUUUCUAUUGAACAUGGGGCUUUGAGUCAUCCAUUUUGCAGCAGCUAGGAGGUUUGGGGCAUUGAUUUCAGCUAAAAGGAUGAGCUCUAAUUAGUCUAUGAAAAUCCCAGUAAAGCCUUACUCCCAAGCCAGCACCAGUACCGUUUUCAGGAUGUGAGGCUUAAGCUCCCAUAGCAUAUCCUUGGCUGGAGGGCUUGGUCAAAGAAUUUGUGCUAUGACAGUCUGGAUAAAUGGGAUAUGAAGGUAAACUUGGCAGAAGGGCUAUUCUGGAAAAAGUUUCCCUACUUUUAAGUGGGAGCCAUAGAAAGAGUAUGGGUGUAAGGCCAGAAUGGCUAAAGCUACUUUUCUGACAAUCUGAAGACAAAGCCUCAUGGCAGAAGGAAGAACACAGAGCAAUGCAUGGAAAUGGGGCCAGAGUCAUUGCAUUAAGUCAAGGCCAGAGCCCAGCCUGCCUCUAGACUUUCACUCAUGUAAAUUCCCUUUUUGUGGGAGCCAGUUUAAUUUAGGUUUUUUGAUACAAGCAGCUGAAUGUAUCAAUUGAAGGAUGACUUUCUCAUAUCCAUUUUAUAUUCACAAACCAUCAGGAAAAGUUCUGCAGAUGACCAAAGCUAUUCAUUAUAUGUGAUUUUUUUAAUACUCUCAGUUUGGUGAGUGAGAUCUUUUAAACAGCCAUUUGAUUAUGAGAUCCAAUUUACCAUUUGUGCAAUUACAAUAGUUAUCAUUAAUCCAGCUCUAGCUCAUAGCAAUAUCAGCAUAGCCAUUUCUUUGAGCUCAAGGCAGGAACUGGCUCGUAAGAGUCAAAUGCAUUGUUCCUUAGAGCCAUCAAUUCUCCAGCUCCAAAAGUCUGCCCUAGACUCACCCUGGCACUAAGAGCAUCUUUGUUCAGCACUGAUAUCACAGAUAUUGUCAGAAGACUUUACUGCCUCUGGAUCCCCAGCCGAAUCAAAUGUAGUGACCUAUUGUUUAGGAUCUGAACAGAACCACAUAUGCUGUCAAACUGCUGGUUCCUAAUGAAGGUGAGGCUAUGGGAGAAUGUACCAAUGUACUGCUUCCUUCACACAAUCUUCCUAUGGAAAAAAAGAAGUCAGUUGAACUAAACAAUGUGCUUCAUGACCUAAUUCACUUACUUUCUGAAGCAAGCUCUUUAUCCUGUUAUGUGGGUUAGUAAUAAAUAGCUUGACAGUUAGUCCGUGGACCUAACUUUGAAUAGUCAUUCUCUCAUUCAUUUAUCAAACACUUACUGCACUAAUAUAUGUAAGUAACCUAAGAAUUAUCUUGGGAGUUAUCUAAGAAAUCUUCUGCCUUUCUCUUCAUGUUCAGCCUGGCAUCACACCUUCCUCUAUUCCUGCUGUCAUUAGCUUGAUGCAGGCUUCCAUUGCUUUCUGAAACACUGCCAUUGUCCUGCCAGUCUUGCCUUCUCCGGGCUACAAUAUGCUAUUAAAAAAUAUAUUGCUCAAGGUGCUUUCUAGCUUCUGUGUCAAUGAAAGCUACUAUGGUGGACUUUUUGCUGAAUAUAAUACAAAUGGAUGUUGGCGCCUCAUACUGCAAAUGUUCUUGGUUAAUGAGCCUUCCAUCACACUAUCCUGAGAUAAGCGUGUACUGCAACUUGUGUAGUUUCCUCUGUAGUCUCUUUUUAAUGCCAUCUGUGUACUGGAGAACUAGACCUGUGGCAAAGAGACAAAGAAAGAAGAUCUUGUUGGAUGUUAUAAUACAAGCUGUGUGAUAGUUAGGCAUCUCUAGCCAUAAAAGGGUGGGUGGAUGUUCUUUGAAAUCGUGAAGGGCAUCAUAGUUAUCAUUGCAACCUGAGAGAACCAGCCAACAACUGUAUAUAAUGAAUGAUAGUGGAGAGAAGAUACAGUCAGAAGAAUAUAAUAAUUUCAGAUGAUUUGAUAAGAAAGGAAGUGCAACUGUACUUGGGGAUUUGGGUAUCUUAUCUCUCUGGGAAUGAUGCUUUAUUGACUCUUAAGUGGUAAUUAUAAUUAAACCCAAUUUUUACCAGUGCAUUCCUGUGCUUAACAGGGUUUUUUUUUGGUGGAUACUUAAUAUUAUAAUCUCUCUGUCCCUUAGUUUUUGAAGAACUGAAGAUUCAGUUUAUUAGUAUUUUAAUAAAUCUCACUAGAAUGGAUCAUAUUCUUCUUUGCUUUAUUUAUGUCAAUGCUGUGAAGCAUAUUUAAAUUUUUUAUGAUAAAUUUUUGAUUUAUAAUUAAGAACAUUAAAUAUAUUACUCUGUAAUGUGGUGAUAUCUUUGGUAGGUAAUUAAGUUAUGUGAAACUGUUUUACCUCCAUAUACACCUCAUAUGUUUAUUUGGAGGUAAAACAAUUACCUAGAACAUUUUGGAUAAAAAUGAUUAAUGAAGGGAGUCUCUACCAAGUACUUUAAUGCCUUAUAAAGCUACAGUAAUCAACAGUGUUUUGUGGUAUAGAAACACAAUAUAUAGCCAAGAUAUUUAUGCCAAUAUAGAUAAGUAUUCAGCAUAUAGUAAAUGUGGAAUUUCAAGUUAGUCAGGAAAUAAUAGAUUAUUAAAAUGAAGGCAGGACAAUUAUUUAAUCAUUAAGACCAAAAAUAAUGUUUAGUCAACUUUGUAUGAUUAAUCUCAGAUAUAUUAAGAAAGUACUAGAAAAUGUAGUAGAAAUAGAUAUUUAUAUAAUACUGGGAUGGGGAAGGAUGUUUUUAAAGCGAGAACUUAAAGUCUUAAAGAUAAAGACAGAUAAUUUAUGUACAUAUCAAUUUUAAGACUUCUUUAUUUUAAACACACUCAAACACAAAAGAAAAAAAUGUUGUCUCACCGAUUAGGAUGGCUAAUAAACAGAAAAUAGAAAAUAAACAAGUAUUGAUAAGGAUAUAGGGAAAUGAAAACACUCGUGUGCUACUGGUAGGAAUGUAAAUGGUACAACCACUGUCUAAAAUAGUAUGUUGGUUUCUAAAAUAUUAAAAAUAGAACUAUCAUAUGAUCCAGCAGCUCCACUUCUGGGUAUAGAUCCCCAAAAAUGGACAGAUGAGACUUGAAGAAAUAUUUGUGCACCUGUGUUCGUAGCAGUAUUAUUCACAAUAGCUUAGGGAUGAAAGCAACCCAAAUGUCCCUUGACAUGAAUGGAUAAACAAACUGUGGUAUAUAUGUACAAUGGAAUAUCAUUCACCCUUAAAAGGGAAGGAAAUUCUGACACAUGCUACAAUAUGGGUGAACAGUGAGGACACUAUGUUAGGUGAAGUAGACCAAUUGCAAAAGAGCAAAUACUGUAUGAUUCUCUUUAUAUCCCUAGAGACAGAAUGUAGAAUGGUGAUUGCUAGAAGCUGAGGGGAGAGGAAAAUGCAUAGCUAUUGUUUAUUGGGUACAUAGUUUCAGUUCUGCAGGAUGAAAAGAGUUCUGGAGAUGGAUGAUGGUGAUAGUCGCAUAACAAUGUACGUUAUGUCAUUUAACUGUACGCUUAAAAAUGGUUAAGAUGGUAAAUUUUAUGUUAUGCAUGUUUGUAAAAAUAUUUUAAAAAAUAAUAAUUUAAAAAAUAAUAAACAAAAGAGGAAUGGUGGUGCUUAGAGUCAAGAGCAUGCUCUAGCGUCAGGCACAGCUGGGUUUUAUCUGGCUCAAUGGGUGUAGGCAAAUGUGUUAAACUCUGUGUGCCAAACUUUCUCAUCUCAGGGUUAUUUUGAAGACUCAGUGAGAUAAUUUCUGUAAAGUGCUUUUUAUAGUGCUUGGAACACAAUAACUGUUCAAUAAAUGCUGCAUACUGAUCUGUUAAAAGGCAAAUGAUAAACAUAUUAUUGACUAUUUAUUAUUUUUAUUUUUAGAGGUCAAUAUAUUAUUGACUCUUCAUAUAGACAAUAUGUUAAGAACUCUAACAAACCAAAGAGAAAUGAUAAAAACUCUAGAGUUUAUGGAAAAAUAGUAUGUUAAAUUUUAUCGACAAAGAAUAUGUUAGUAUUUUUUAUUUCAAGGAAUGAGGCCUUUUCUGGGCUAGCUUAAGUAAAUGGGGACUUUUUGAAGAAUAAAUUUUAAGAGAGAUAGAGUCUCGGAGAUGCAAGAAUAGGAAAUCGACACAAGAUUGGAUAUAGGUCUAAAGUAGUUCUAAGGAUCCUGACAGUAGAAUCUACAUUUCAGCGCUCUGUUGUUAACGUAGUUUAUCUCCUCUUGUUUAGUCUCUGUCACAUUUCCUCUCAUCUAAUAUAUCAUUGACUCACUCCUUUAUACCUUACCUACAUCACAGCUCUUGCUUAUUCCUGAUUUGUGCUUCUUUAUGUCUUUGAUUUCUGCAUGACUUUGCUUUGCUGCUGACCAUUCAUGGAUCUAAUUCACAGUAUCUUCUCAGCUUUAGUUCCCACUGCUAACAGUCUGAUUUUUCUCCAUUUGUUUGAAUCAAAUUAUUCGAAGUAGAAUUGGAUUGGAACAUUCCUUGUUUUUAGCAAGAAUCUUAUUGGACCUUUCUUUGUUUCUAGCAAAGCUUUUUAGAUCAGGUUAUCUUGAAGCUCACUGCUCAGCCACUUUCAGCUACAUUUAUGUCACGUGACCAGUCCUAUUCCAAUCAGCUGUGGUCUGGGUGAUAAAUUUCUGUGGUGUAAAACAUGAUGAUCUAAGGCUGCCUCUACAGAAGGAGCUAUUUUGUGUUUCAUGAAUCACUUGUAAUGACCAGAUUGUUGAAUUUUUCUAGUUGAAGAUUUGACAACACCAUUUUUAUGUCUGCUUUUAAUAGUUCAUCCCUAUCUGUUUCUAUCACCUUGUUCACAAGCUGCUAAUCUGUUAUCCAACCUUCAGUCUAUGAAUCAGAGCAGGAAGAACAGAAGUGUAAUGGGAACAUAAAAUUACCACAUAAGAUAACCAUAUCAGUAAGCUUGAUUUACCUUCAUCUGUAGAAGCGAGUAAGUCAACAAGCCCUAGUUUAAGGGUACUUUUAAAAUUCUCUAAUAAAGCACAUGAUCUUGGCUUAGAGGCUUUUUGGAUUACUUGGGUUGGUCUGGAUUCUGAGAAGGUGAGGUGGCUAAUGUCUAACUAUCAGAUUAAGCGUAAGUUUCCCAUACAUCAGAGCAGAUGUGACACCUUUAUUGACAGUAUGUCCAUAUUGUUUUAUGUUCUUGUGUUACUUUUUCCCCCCAGUAAUGCCUUUGCAUGAAAUGCUUUCCUUUCAGUAAAAAAAUAAGCCAAAUUUUCUUGUUAUCUUCUGGACAAGGGAGGGGGUGCUUUUUUCGCGGAAAACAAUUAACAGUAAUAUAAAACUUUACAGUGUCAAAGUAAGAUGAUCUUUUUAUGCAAAUACUAACUUGAAGUUUUUAACCAUCUGUUCUUAAUUGAGCUUGGAGAAGAUUAUUUUCAUAAUCUAAAAGACAUACUGUGAAUGCUCAGGCACAUGCUGAAUAGCCCAAGAAAGUAGGGAUCAGCAUCACAUAUAUUUAAACAAAUUAGUCAAAGGAAAAAAUUUUACUUGUGUUUCUGCAUGAAAGGUGGAACCUAAUUGAAAAGCAGGAGAUAUUUUCAAUUUCAUUGGUUGAAACAGCCAAAGAUAAACCAUGGUGAUUCUGUCUGGGGACCCACAUAUAUGCAUAUCAUGUAGGAAGACAUAAUUGCUUCCGUAGCAAUAAACUAUUUCUAUUUCUUCUUAUUUGUUAUGAGUUAGACUUUGUCAUUCUUCAGGACCCCCAGAGAUUUCGAAGAAAGACUAUACGAAGAUAGAUAAAGCAUAUCCUCUAUCCCAUCUCUGUCUGUGGAAGUCAAUAUAUUUUUAAUGUAAAAAAUUGAUUGUAGUUUGGUGAAGAAGACAUCACAGCUUGCAAAGGAAGAGACUUCAUGAGAACUCACAGAAUGAGUUUGAAUCUUGGAGUGCUGGCCCAAGUUUCAGGUUUGACCCCUGGCACACACUGACCCCAGGUGAAGACAGAGCAGACUCUGUAGUCUGCCAAAGGAUGAACUCUGAUCUAAGCUCUCUGAAGCAGUCCUGGCCUCUGGAUAAAUGACCUCUUCAAUUAGGCUUCUUUACGUUUCAUGUAGAUGAAGAGAUUUUGGCUCAUUUCCCCACUUCUGCCUUUGCUCAAUGUGAAAACACAUUGUAAAAUAUAAUCAUUUGAGGGUGAUUCUAACAGUUCUAACUGACUGGCUGUUCUGGAAGAUAAAAAUAAUACGAUUUUAAAGGAACCUUAACUUUUGAAAGUGAAGUGAGUACCACAUGCUGCAAAGGAGAAUAUUGAUUUAAUGGCCACACAUAAUCCUGUAAAUUUAGUCAUGAAACAGACACUAAUUUUAAAGAAUAGUGGUACUAUUAAAAUAUACCUCUGCACAGCUGUAGGACAAACAGAUUUGAUUCCCCUCAGGGGAAACUGAGAGGUCCAAGUGGUCUUUGCCAGUCUGUGAACUUGCAGUGUGUGUCAGUGACAGUUUGAGUACUGCGGGCUAUAGGACUUGCAUUCCUAAGCAAGUUCUCUAGGCUUCCACAGAAAUAAGCGAUAAAAAUUGCCCUUCUGUGUUUUGAGUUAACUUCCUUUAGAUCUCAUUGAGCCAAGAGCCAAAUCCACCAUGAGUAAAAGUGUUGAGCAUUGUCAGAGAGCUGUACUAAUGGACAAAGGCUGACUUUAAAGGUCAUAAAGUAUUUCUCUCACAUGGGUGAUGAAUAGCAGUUUGGAAUUUCCUUGGCUCUGUUAUACUGUGUGCUGAGGUGGUGGUAAUGUUUAUCAGGGAAGCCUGUCUUGGCUUAUUGGACUAAAUGAGAGGCUAAGAAGGGAAUGCUGUCCUAUGUCAGGGCGUUAUAGGUAAGUCAUGAAAUUUUCUCUAAUGAGAUUUACAAAGGGUGGUCUUUAACACCAGAAGGUAUAGCUACUAGUUAUAACCAGUAUUCAAAAUGAGCUGGGCUUGAACCUAGUGAAAGUGUCAUAGUUUCAUCAAAGACCUGUAUGACCAGAAUAGAAAAUUAUACCUAUAGGGCUACCAGAUGUCCAUAGAAAGGUAAAUAGAACUUUGGUUGGACAGGGUUAGGAUUUAAAAUCACACUGGUACACUGUAGAAGUAGAAUAAAGGAGAGUGAAGUCUGGUAAAGACGAUGCUAGACAAGAUUAUAGUACUAAACAUAGAAAACAAUUUUGUACAGUGAUCAGAUAGGAAAUAAUGGCUAGUAUACAUUCCAGCAGAAAACAUAAUUUGUGGACUUGUUAAAUUAUUUUCUGUUCUGUUGUUCCAUCAUUUCAUAAUUCAGCCUCCUGUCUGUCAAUUCUUCUUUCAGUGGAAAUAAAGCCAGUGGAGAAACCAAACUUUAAGGAGUUUGCUUAUUUUCUCACCUCUACCUUAGAAGCAAAAGUGGUUUUAGAUAGGGCCAAAUACUGAAAAAUGACAGCUCACAGUGUAAGGUGGAUGAGGCUGAGGCUAUCAGGCUGGGGCCUUUUAGCGUAGGGGCAACCAGCCUGCAUAUCCAAUACUCAUGAGAUUACUACUAUAUAAAAGUAUAGAGCAGCAAUAAUUUUUACAACGCUAACACAAAGUGUCAUCAAAAUGCCAAAUGAUGUUCAGUAAAAGUUUACGCUCUUUUAUAAGUAAAUAUAUUGGUGUGGAACUUCCUAUUAUCUAAUGGGGCUGGAUAAAUGUACUGACUUUGCAAUCUAUUAUUAUUGGUUUUUUUUUCAGAGAUAGUACUAAAGUAAAAUUCUUCAGUAUUGCUUUUGCACAAAUAAUCAUACAGUUUGAAGUAGUUAGGACUAAAGUGAUAGGUUUCCAAGAAUAUAAUUUUGAAAGCAAAAGUAGUUAGAUUCAUUCAGAUAUUUUAACUGUUUCCUGCCUAUAUUCACUUCUAUCUUUACACAGCAGAUUUCUUAUAAAAAUUUAAAGCAUGCGCAGAAAAUGGGAGAAAAGUAUCUUUCUGUAAAUUGUAGUGUGGUGGAGGUACUUACAUACUGAAUCCAAAAACAGGUAAAAAUGAUUCUCCCUAGCUGAUUAAGUGAUUUUCAACUUGUGUCGUUGUCUUCAAAUAUAACAGUUCACCAUGGCUUCUGAGGCUAGGAUAAAUAAUCAUGGAACCUCAUUUUAAAACACGGAUUGCAAGCAAAACAGAAAGAAAAAAAACCCACACUAGCAUAACUGUUUUAAAGAUCCUGGCAUAUAUGAUUUGCUUUUGAAAACAGUUCCUCACUGCAGGGAAAACCGAUCGGUUAUACACAUCCAUGAAUAAGCUGCAGAAGCGUGGUACCACAUUGAAUAUCGCAAAUUUCAGUGACUAGUCAUGGUUGUAGAUGCAAAUAGUUCUUAGCAACUCUGGUGAUAUCUAUGCAAACACAGUUUGUUAGAUGAGGAUGAAACGUGUUGGUGACAUGGGUCAAAGAAAACGGGGUGUGCAUUUAGCACAAGAGAGCCUCCUCUAGGCUAUUGCAGAGGGAAAACCCUGCUUUUCCUUGGCCUCAUUGUAAACUUGUCUUUGACAAAAUAACCAAAAGAACAUAAAACUCAGCUAAAUCAAAGCAAAAGAAAUAAAACCUCAAACUCUCCCUAUGUUUGGCUGUUUUCUUUGUCCAUCUUCAUCGUGCAGACUCGAGUUAUCAGAAUUAAAGCCUUCACUUUGUUCUGACCAAAGACUUCUUGGAAUUGUGCACUGGGUCACAAAUGUAAGCCAGUUCCAUCUGCUCUCUUUCAUCCAUUUGAAAAAUUACUAACGAAUAUUAUCUAAAUAUUGAAUGAUCUUUUUCUAGGCUAGUGCAGAAUGCAUUUUCAAAACGGUAGGUUGUGAAAUACUGCUAAUGGGGUCCUUAUAAAAUAAACACUAGAGUAAUAGAGCUAGUUGUUUUUGCAUUAUGUUCUCUUCAGGAACCAGUUCUUUAUGAGUAUUCAACAAAUAUUAAAUAAUUAGGGUUAUAGCUAAGGAAGCACAGCCAAAGGCUAAGUGGUGUUUUCAAGGUUGUAAAAUGUGUUAGCAAGGAAACCUGGGACUGAAAUGAAGAGUUCUUCGCUUCUUCCUGGGGCUUGGAUCACUACGCCCCUCUAUUUCCUUAAUCGCGUAAAACCAUUGGGUUCCUUACUAACUCCUAAUCCAGUGCUCAGUUAGGCAAAAUUUGGAAACCUUCAGGCAAUGACCUGUUUUUCAAUGGAAAAACGUAUUUACUUCCAGCUGGAACACAUCGAGACAAGCCAUUUGUCUUAUAGCCUCAUUCUUGCCAAAAGACUGGAAAAUAACUUAUUAGUGAGUCUAACAUCUCAAGAGCCACAACAACAGCUGCACUGAAUAUAGAACACACAGAAUGACUGGACACUGUGAAACUGGGUUGACGGAAACCAAUGCAACAGUAAUUCCAGGACUUGCUUUGAUUUUUUCAACGGAGUGCAAGUUAGAGGGAAAAUUUCAUGCCUACACGAUCAGAUUGACUUAGCCUGUCUGUUCAUCUGUAAAUUGUCUUUGUAGCAUUUGUAUAUGUGCUGUUUAAGAUCAUUGUCAAAUUAAUAAUUGAGGUUUGUGAUUGAAUCAUAAUUUUAGAACCUCUUCCCAACUCAAUAUUCUCAAUUAAACCAAAUAGACUACUGGGGAGAUAAACUCUGUUAAAAAUAUAUGUGUAUAGUUAUAAAACUCCAAUACUUUAUGAGAUCAAAGGCAACCAGCUUCAAAUAUGCACUCCCAUCACACUGUUGAACAUUUUGUGAUUUAAUGAAUUAAAUAACCUAGAAAUUACAUCAUUUACCAAAUAUAUGAAUUUAACGGGUACAGUUUCCAUACAGUGAUAUUUGCCUUUCAGCCAGUUGGCAGUAGCAUUUAUGGAAAAUCUUCUGGGUCUUGGGCAUGUUUAAAAAAUUAAGAGGGAAAAAUUCCAAUUCUUUACUAUUUCAUUUCUUUAAAAAUCUUGUUUCUGCUAGUUUAAUGUAAAAAUUUAAAAGUUGAAGGUGAGUGUUGUCACCUAAAUGUUGACCACUUAAGUGGUUCUGAGAUAUUAGACAGUUCAAACUUUGAUAGUUUAGAAUAGGAAAAUCAAUUAUCUUUUAAUUAAAAUUAAAUUUAUUUCACAAUUGGUCCCAUUAUGGCAAUGGGUGUACACUCUCUCAAUAGUGACACAAUUGCUAAAUAGCAGUGCUUCAGUGGUAUAUAUACAGUUUGAAUGUUGAUCAGACAUUUACAAAUAUUUACUGAAAUAAUUGAUAUUUGUGUGGCAUAUAAGCACUAGUCCUAGAAGUAUAACAGAAAUAAUUAUAAUCAAAAAAGGAUAUUAAAAUCCCAAAAUAAUUU